AUUGAACGCUGGCGGCAGGCUUAACACAUGCAAGUCGAACGAGUGGCGGACGGGUGAGUAAUGUCUGGGAAACUGCCUGAUGGAGGGGGAUAACUACUGGAAACGGUAGCUAAUACCGCAUACCAUCAGAUGUGCCCAGAGGGGAUUAGCUUGGUGGUGGGGUAACGGCUCACCAAGGCGACGAUCCCGAGCUGGUCUGAGAGGAUGACCAGCGACACUGGAAAUGAGACACGGUCCAGACUCCUACGGGCGGCAGCAGUGGGGAAUGUUGGACAAUGGGCGCAAGCCUGAUGCAGCAAUGCCGCGUGUGUGAAGAAGGCCUUCGGGUUGUAAAGUACUUUCAGCGGGGAGGCGUUACCCGCAGAAGAAGCACCGGCUAACUCCGUGCCAGCAGCCGCGGUAAUUC
rnacentral:rRNA from 1 species